UUGUGAAGAAGAUUGAUAGAGGGUGGAUGAAGAUGGAUGAUUGAAAACUCUGAAUGAAGGUGAAAUGGUGAAGUGGAUGCGUGGAAGAGAGGUUCUGAGUUUUUUUAUAGAGAUUGAAGGUUCAGUUCAGGGCAGACUUUGGUUUUGAAAUCAAGGGCAUCGUUCCAGUUAGUGGUAGAGCUGGCGAUUAGUCAUGUGCAGCAGCGUGAAACACAUGUGAACACCAUUUCAAGAUUACUUUUGGCCAUGAAGAGAUUCGAGACGGAAUGGUUUGGAAACUCGGGGAAGGAUAGGUCUAGGAAAAGAUUCUUUAUGCGAUUUCUUUGUAUUUGAGAAUGAAUUGGAUAUAGAUUUGUAAUAGGAUCUGAAUUUUGUUGUAAAGAAUUUUGAAUUGUC